rnacentral:rRNA from 1 species
UGCCAGACUCCUACGGGAGGCAGCAGUGGGGAAUAUUGCACAAUGGGGGAAACCCUGAUGCAGCGACGCCGCGUGAGCGAUGAAGUAUUUCGGUAUGUAAAGCUCUAUCAGCAGGGAAGAAGAUGACGGUACCUGACUAAGAAGCCCCGGCUAACUACGUGCCAGCAGCCGCGGUAAUACGUAGGGGGCAAGCGUUAUCCGGAUUUACUGGGUGUAAAGGGAGCGUAGACGGCGAUGCAAGCCAGAUGUGAAAGCCCGGGGCUCAACCCCGGGACUGCAUUUGGAACUGUGUGGCUGGAGUGUCGGAGAGGCAGGCGGAAUUCCUAGUGUAGCGGUGAAAUGCGUAGAUAUUAGGAGGAACACCAGUGGCGAAGGCGGCCUGCUGGACGAUGACUGACGUUGAGGCUCGAAAGCGUGGGGAGCAAACAGGAUUAGAUACCCGGGUAAC